CCUCGGAUUUGCAUGGCUCCGCCCCCGGAACGGGACUCUCCCCAGGGGCCCCGCCCCUCGUGGUGGCCGCUCCGCCCCCUUCCAGAUCAGCCCGUUUGGUCAGGUUUACAUUUACUUAGCAUUUCUCAGCUUCUUUUAGGCUUUUAGUACCGUUUUUACACCACGGGAUGAGCAAAUAGGUUUAAAACACCGCGUAACUCAGGGAAAGAACAGAGUCUUGGGGCAGCUAUGCGGUACGAACUGAGUAAUUUCCCUGAUCCUGGGAGGAAACARGCAUACCUGGCGCGGCUUCACUUCGCGGUGCUAAUCUGCUCUGCCUCAUAUCCUCUGCUCUCAGCGCAGCCGGCACUUUAGGAUCGGCCUUGUAGCGCGAUGUGAGCGCCUCUCUGUUUCUUAAUCUCUUUUAGCUCGAGCAUCCCAUGAUUUUUAAUCAGUUCAAUCUGCAGGUUAAGGUACUAACUGCUGCUUUUAAAAGAAAUACCUCACAGAGGCUCCUAGCCUGUCAGAGAAAGGGCGGGCAGGCAGAUGAGAAGAGACCGGGGGAACCGCAGGGCUGCGGCGCCGCCUCACCACAGCGCCGCGACCCCUCUUCCCGCCGAUUUCCCAACGGUCGCCGGGGGGGGGACAGGGGGCGCUCGCGCCUUCCCCCCACACUGCGCCUGCGCGCCCCCUCUUCCCGCCAAUUGCGGGGGGGGGCGCCGCGGGCGCCUGCGCGUGUCGCCUCGCGCCCUCCCCUCCCACUGCGCCUGCGCGCCGCCUUUCCCGCUCCCUCCCUCACCGCUCCCUAGCGUCGGUCCACAGGAUGGCGCAUGCGCGCGGGGAAAGGCCGUAGUGCGCACGCGCUCCUCUGUCUCCCAGCAUGCACCGGGGCGGCGACCUAUUUAAGCGCUCAGGCGGGGCUGCUUCGGCCAUUUCCUUGCUGUUGCUGUAUGGGGAGGGUGAGUGUGUCCGGGCGUUGCCUGCUCCUGGGGCUGUUCGGGGGUCGCUCUGCGCGGAACGAGCCGUUCCUAGCGGCCGUUUCCUUCUCUCCUGAGGUUUUCAGACGUUUAAGGGGAAGCUCUGCCAGAGUCCUUGUGUUCUCAGCCGUUGUGCUCAGAGUCUCUGGGAGUGGCCUGGGUGUCUCCCUCUGCAGGUUGAUGCCUCCGGAGCAGGCGGUGCUGCCCCAGCCCCGUCGCCGGCAGCAUGAGGAAAUGGAUGAAAGCUGUUGGCUGGGGGUGUCCGGCAAAGCUCCGAGCAGCCUGGAGCGGCUGCGCUGGAUGGUGUUUGACGGAGGCGACUCCCCAGUUCAAGCUGCUUCCUGCAGUUUUGGUGAUGAGGUGGCCGGAGGGGCCGGGCAGCAGCAGCUGGGCUGAGUCCAGGGGGAAACGCGGAUGCACGUCCUGGCGCUGGAGCCCCCCCAGAGCUCGUCCAGGCCCUGCUCACCUUCACCAUUCUCAGGGUCGCUGAGCUGCUGGAGAAGAGCUGCCUCCCUUGCGCGUGCCCUCUCUUUGUGUGAAUAAAAACACUUUCUUUAGUACUCUGGUCUUGUCU
rnacentral:lncRNA from 1 species